GCAGAGGAGAGAGCAUCAGAUUCCCUUGGAAACAUCUUGCUUUUUCAAGUUCAGCAUCCAGACAUUUAACAACUCUGAGGAAAGUCUCUCAGAAGAAAGGCGGAGAGGACUGCAACAAAAACUGUGGGCUGUGGCUGAUCAAAAUUAAACAAAAAAGUUGCUAAGCUGGAGUGAUGGUAAGAAGAUCCAAUAUGGUGACUUCACUGAUGUGUAAGCCUCAAUCUCCUCCACUGAGCUCAACAGAAGAAUCCAUUCAUUGUCUCCAGCUGAGUCCAUUGUUCUAUACAAUGUAUUGACAUUUAAUGUCUUUUGGAUGAAGCACUGGAUUUUGAAGAAGUUAUACGGCCAGUCACAGUUGUGAAGAACUUUGGUCAUCAUAUUUAUGUUAUCAUGACAAUCUCACUUUAGACCUUCUACAUCUACGUGAUUGAAGCUAAACCCAAGAAGCAUCAGGCCUGAUCCUAAACCCAGGGUGUCCAUCACAACCAGACUACAUCUUUUUGUUUUACCUUGAUGAGAGAUAUGAAUGAGGAGAUAACACUAACAAACUCAGGAGUCUGUCAAUCUACAGAGUCUCAGGAAUUUCAACCCAGUUGCAGAAAGAGAUUUUACCCUUCUCAAGUCACCGGCCUCCGUUUGGUGAUUGUAGUCUUCUUUUCGGUGAUUGCAGCACUGGGAGCGACUUUAGCAGAUGCUUCUUGACUUCAUCCUGAGAAGCCGAUUGUGAAUUGGGAAGUCAUGGUAAGUCCCAGGCCUUCCUCGGCUGCCCGGUGAGUUUGAAGACAGCCUGAAUUAUCUGAGACAAUGUCUCAAAAUUGAACAGACAAAAAGAACAGAGUCUACCAUGUUUCAUGAUACAAUUCAUUGACAUCUUAAUAUUACUACAGUUCUUACAGCUGGUAGCAGUCUGUAGAACUGCUCCUCUGGUGAACGAACUCAUCCUGACUCACACACAUACUCUUAUGUGAGUGUUAGCAUUUGUUUCCCCAAGCUGCUUCUCCUAGAUGGCUAUGCCUAUCAAAAUGAAUGCUGAAGCUUGUCCAGCUGGCAUAUGCAACUGGGGAAAGAGAGGCAGGCAGAUCUCUAUGAAUUCCAGGACAGCCUGGUGCCUGGCCUGUGUAGUGAGUUCCAGGACAGCCAAGGCUACAUAGAUACACUUUACCUUUAAAAAAGGAUUCUGAGUAUAAUGUGAUUUUUACUCUCUGUGAACCUUAUAAAAGUGGAACCAGAUUUCCAGGUUCUGAUCUUGAGUCACAAUUAUCAGUGUAUUGGACAGUAGCUCUCAACCUGUGGGUCACAACCCCUAUGGGGUUGCAUAUCAGAUAUUUACAUUAAGAUUCUUAA